CGAAUUACCACGUAUAGUACGUAUUCGAAUCAGUUGUGAAACCAUAAAUUUGUGCUCUGUUAUGUUCUGUGGAGAAACACAUGCGAUAAAUUAAUGGUAUUCAAUUUUAAUCGCCCUUUUCCGAUUAUAAAAAACUAAAGGCAUCACAAUCAAAGUCCAUUAGCAAUAAAUUCCAGGUCCGCUGUUGCGCAUCAGUGUCAAUAAGUUUGAAGCUAUUUUUAUUUUAAGUUAUGAUAACAGCUGAUUUAUGAAAACUACAUACACAUCACAGAGAAAACUUGUGAGUUUAUUAUUUUUUUUUUAUUUUAAUUCUUUAUUAGACGUCACCGUUGAUAAUAUAUAUGACAUUUGAUUUGAGACAAGUAUUAAAUAGCAAACGACUAGUAAACGUUUUAACAUCCAAAUGUUUACGAAAUCAUGAUGAGUAAAAGUUCCAAAUAGCGAUUUUUCCGAAUAGCGACUUGUCCAAAUUUUAAUUUUGAUUUUUUGCGAAAAAUAAUUAGUAUGCAAACAAAAUAAAAAAAUAUGAAAAAAUUAGCAAACGAAUAGCGAUCGAAUAGCGUUUUCCAAAUUGUUGAAAGUGUUAGUACGACAGUUGACUUCAUACCGGUCUCUAAUUCUUCUUUCUGCUUGAGACUAUCUUGAUAAAA